rnacentral:rRNA from 1 species
UACGGGGGGAGCAAGCGUUGUUCGGAUUUACUGGGCGUAAAGGGCGCGUAGGCGGCCACCGCAAGUCGACUGUGAAAUCUCCGGGCUUAACCCGGAAAGGUCAGCCGAUACUGCGGGGCUAGAGUGCAGAAGGGGCAACUGGAAUUCCUGGUGUAGCGGUGAAAUGCGCAGAUAUCAGGAGGAACACCGGUGGCGAAGGCGGGUCUCUGGGCAACAACUGACGCUGAGGAGCGAAAGCGUGGGGAGCGAACAGG